GGACCUAAGCCUUCAAUGUAUGUUCCUUUAGGCAACAUUUAUGAUCCAAAUCAUAGCAGUUACCCUUACAAAACCCACCAUUUUGCUUUCUUCCUUGAUAAGAGAACCCCUCCAUUUUUUGUGGUGCUAGGGAUUGAAGAGAACCCCAUUUUUAAAAAAGGGUAUUCAUGUUUUUAGUCCCAGAGAAGAAAGCAAGGUAAACUUGUUUCCCCUUUCCAGAUACUUGCUUUCUCAAUCUCCUAUACAAUUGGACCUAGUUUUGACCAAUGAAACAUAAAAGGAAGUCAGCUGCAGAGUUGUGGGAAUGGUUUUUCUACCUGAUGAAAAGAGAUUGCUCCCUUGGGGAAAGCCCUUUUGUUUCACUCUUCUUUCUUGUUUUCUUUUUGCCUUUGAAAAUGUCCUGUGAAGAUAUGAUGCCUAGAUCCAAGACUAAUGCAGUUGAGCAUAGUGGGUAUGCUUGUAAUCCCAGUGGCUUGGGAGGCUGAAGCAGCAAUAUUGCCAGCUUCAGCAAUUUAGUGUUUAGGAGCAAUUUAGCAAUACCUUGUCUCAAAAUAAAGUAUAAAAAAAUGGGCUGGGUUCUGGGCAUCAUUGUGCACUCAUGUAAUCCCAGCAGUUUGGGAGGCUGAGGCAGGAGAAUCAGGAAUUCAAAGCCAGCCUCAGCAAUUUAGUGAGGUCCUAAGCAAGUCAGCGAGACCCUGUCUCUAAAUACAAUAUAAAGAAGGGCUGGGAAGAUGGCUCAGUGGCCCUGGGUUCAAUUCCCGGUACCAAAAAGGGACUAAUGCACAGAUAAUCAUUGAGAUGCCAACCCAACUCAGUGGUCUGACAUUGUGAAGUUUGACCCAAUCUUAAAACCACCCAUCUUCAGAUUUAUUUAGGAAACAAUAAGUGUUUGUUCUUUUUUUUUUUUUUUUUAAUUUAUUUUUUUAAUUGUAGUUGGACACAAUACCUUUAUUUAUUUAUUUUUAUGUGGUGCCUAGGAUUGAACCCAGGGCCUCGCAUGUGCUAGGCGAGCGCUCUACCAUUGAGCCACAAU
rnacentral:lncRNA from 1 species